AGGCAGUCUCGGUGGCGCUCAUUUCGAAAAAGAUGCGGAAGAUGACUCAGGAGUCCGGCACGCAAAGUCGGGAUGUAGGACUGGUGGUGAGUGAAAAGAAGGAGGUGACAACGUCGGCAAUCGGAGAUCGACAAAAGAAGCCACUAUCUGAGGUGGAGUGCUUUUACUAUCACAGAAAAGAGCAUAUAAAAGGAAACUGUCAGAAGCUUCAGAAUGAUCUGAAAGAGUUAAAGCGACAGAAGGAGAAAACUGUCGUGAACUAGGAUGAGCCGGUAUCAGUGACGGCAUAGGCAGCAGAAUUGGAGAUGAUCGAUUCUAAUGUGCUGUAUGAGGCGACUGGAAAUGCGAAAAUUUCGAAUAAUGAGUGGGUGCUCAAUUCAGCGAGUUCC
rnacentral:lncRNA from 1 species